rnacentral:rRNA from 1 species
AUUGAACGCUGGCGGCAGGCCUAACACAUGCAAGUCGAGCGAGCGGCGGACGGGUGAGUAAUGUCUGGGAAACUGCCUGAUGGAGGGGGAUAACUACUGGAAACGGUAGAUAAUGCCGCAUACCAUCAGAUGUGCCCAGGUGGGAUUAGCUAGUAGGUGGGGUAACGGCUCACCUAGGCGACGAUCCCUAGCUGGUCUGAGAGGAUGAACAGCCACACUGGAACUGAGACACGGUCCAGACUCCUACGGGAGGCAGCAGGUGGGAAGAUUGCACAAUGGGCGCAAGCCUGAUGCAGCCAUGCCGCGUGUGUGAAGAAGGCCUUCGGGUUGUAAAGCACUUUCAGCGGGGAGGCGUUACCCUCAGAAGAAGCACCGGCUAACUCCGUGCCAGCAGCCGCGGUAAUUC